GACAGAGGGUGCGAACGUUGUUCGGAAUUACUGGGCGUAAAGCGUGUGUAGGCGGCCACGUAAGUCGGAUGUGAAAGCCCCGGGCUCAACCCGGGAAGUGCACUCGAUACUGCGUGGCUUGAGUACUGGAGAGGUUGGUGGAAUUCUCGGUGUAGAGGUGAAAUUCGUAGAUAUCGAGAGGAACACCGGUGGCGAAGGCGGCCAACUGGACAGAUACUGACGCUGAGACACGAAAGCGUGGGUAGCAAACAGG
rnacentral:rRNA from 1 species